CGGCAAACACAAGCCUCGCCUGUUUACCAAAAACAUCGCCUCUUGUCCUCCUAAAAUAAGAGGUCCCGCCUGCCCUGUGACUAUAUGUUUAACGGCCGCGGUAUUUUAACCGUGCGAAGGUAGCGCAAUCACUUGUCUUUUAAAUGAAGACCUGUAUGAAUGGCACAACGAGGGCUUAACUGUCUCCCCUUUCCAGUCAAUGAAAUUGAUCUCCCCGUGCAGAAGCGGGGAUACGUACAUAAGACGAGAAGACCCUGUGAAGCUUAAGACAAAAAGUAGCCCAAACUAAGUAUCUCCAACAAAAUGAAUAUAAGCAUUGGACCCUACUUCCAUGUCUUCGGUUGGGGCGACCGCGGAGAAACAAAAAACCCCCAUGUGGAUAAGGAGCAUCACUUACCCUUUUUCCCUCCUACAACUAAGAGCCAUAGCACAAAGUAACAGAACUUUUGACCAAACAUGAUCCGGUUAUACCGAUUAACAAACCAAGUUACUCCAGGGAUAACAGCGCUAUCCCCUUCUAGAGCCCAUAUCGACAAGGGGGUUUACGACCUCGAUGUUGGAUCAGGACAUCCUAAUGGUGCAGCCGCUAUUAAGGGUUCGUUUGUUCAAC
rnacentral:rRNA from 1 species